UUAAGCAUAUCAAUAAGCGGAGGAAAAGAAACCAACCGGGAUUGCCUCAGUAACGGCGAGUGAAGCGGCAAGAGCUCAAAUUUGAAAGCUGGCUCCUUCGGGGUCCGCAUUGUAAUUUGCAGAGGAUGCUUCGGGUGCGGCCCCUGUCUAAGUGCCCUGGAACGGGCCGUCAGAGAGGGUGAGAAUCCCGUCUGGGAUGGGGUGUCCGCGCCCGUGUGAAGCUCCUUCGACGAGUCGAGUUGUUUGGGAAUGCAGCUCUAAAUGGGUGGUAAAUUUCAUCUAAAGCUAAAUACUGGCCGGAGACCGAUAGCGCACAAGUAGAGUGAUCGAAAGAUGAAAAGCACUUUGAAAAGAGAGUUAAAAAGCACGUGAAAUUGUUGAAAGGGAAGCGCUUGCGACCAGACUCGCCUCCAGGGUUCAGCCGGCAUUCGUGCCGGUGUACUUCCCUGGGGGCGGGCCAGCGUCGGUUUGGGCGGCCGGUCAAAGGCUCCCGGAAUGUAGUGCCCUUCGGGGCACCUUAUAGCCGGGAGUGCAAUGCGGCCAGCCUGGACCGAGGAACGCGCUUCGGCACGGACGCUGGCAUAAUGGUCGCAAACGACCCGUCUUGAAACACGGACCAAGGAGUCUAACAUCUACGCGAGUGUUCGGGUGUCAAACCCGUACGCGCAGUGAAAGCGAACGGAGGUGGGAGCCCCCUCGCGGGGCGCACCAUCGACCGAUCCUGAUGUCUUCGGAUGGAUUUGAGUAAGAGCGUAAAUGUGGGGACCCGAAAGAUGGUGAACUAUGCCUGAAUAGGGCGAAGCCAGAGGAAACUCUGGUGGAGGCUCGCAGCGGUUCUGACGUGCAAAUCGAUCGUCAAAUUUGGGUAUAGGGGCGAAAGACUAAUCGAACCAUCUAGUAGCUGGUUCCUGCCGAAG
rnacentral:rRNA from 1 species